AGGUCAUUUUGUGGACAAUUUCUCAGCAAUCCUUUGUAUCUUUCCCAUGCUUCAUAGAGUGAUUCACCUCCUUGUUGUUCAAAACUGGUGAUUGAUUUCUUUAACUU